AACGAACGCUGGCGGCAUGCCUAACACAUGCAAGUCGAACGAAGGCUUCGGCCUUAGUGGCGCACGGGUGCGUAACGCGUGGGAAUCUGCCCUUUGGUUCGGAAUAACAGCUGGAAACGGCUGCUAAUACCGGAUGAUGACGAAAGUCCAAAGAUUUAUCGCCAGAGGAUGAGCCCGCGUUGGAUUAGGUAGUUGGUGGGGUAAAGGCCUACCAAGCCGACGAUCCAUAGCUGGCCUGAGAGGAUGAUCAGCCACACUGGGACUGAGACACGGCCCAGACUCCUACGGGAGGCAGCAGUGGGGAAUAUUGGACAAUGGGCGCAAGCCUGAUCCAGCAAUGCCGCGUGAGUGAUGAAGGCCCUAGGGUUGUAAAGCUCUUUUACCCGGGAAGAUAAUGACUGUACCGGGAGAAUAAGCCCCGGCUAACUCCGUG
rnacentral:rRNA from 1 species